rnacentral:rRNA from 1 species
ACGUAAGGAGCGAGCGUUGUCCGGAAUUACUGGGCGUAAAGGGCGCGUAGGCGGUUCAGUAAGUUGCAUGUGAAAGCCCCGGGCUUAACCUGGGGAGUGCAUGCAAAACUGUUGGACUUGAGUGCGGUAGAGGAUAGUGGAAUUCCUAGUGUAGCGGUAAAAUGCGUAGAUAUUAGGAGGAACACCAGUGGCGAAGGCGACUAUCUGGGCCGCAACUGACGCUGAGGCGCGAAAGCGUGGGGAGCAAACAG